CCUACGGGUGGCAGCAGUGAGGAAUAUUGGUCAAUGGACGAAAGUCUGAACCAGCCAAGUAGCGUGAAGGAUGACUGCCCUAUGGGUUGUAAACUUCUUUUAUAAAGGAAUAAAACGAGGCACGUGUGCCUUUUUGCGUGUUCUUUAUGAAUACGGAUCGGCUAACUCCGUGCCAUCAGCCACGGUAAUAAGGAGGGUCCGAGCGUUUUCCGGAUUUAUUUGGUUUCAAGGGAGCUGUGAUGGGGUGUUAAGGCAGUUGUGAAAGUUUGCGGCUCAACCGUAAACUUGCAAUUGAAACUGGUAGUCUUGAGUACAGUUGAGGUAGGCGGAAUUCGUGGGGUAGCGGUGAAAUGCUGAGAUAUCACGAAGAACCCCGAUUGCGAAGGCAGCUUACUAAACUGUGACUGACAUUGAGGCUCGAAAGUGUGGGUAUCAAACAGGAUUAGAUACCCGUGUAGUC
rnacentral:rRNA from 1 species